rnacentral:rRNA from 1 species
CCUUCGGGUGUGAAUUAGCGGCGAACGGGUGAGGAACACGUGAAGAAUCUGCCUUCAACUCUGGGAUAACUCCGGGAAACCGGGGCUAAUACCGGAUAUGAGCCUUGAUCGCAUGAUUGGGGCUGGAAAGUUUUUCGGUUGAAGAUGACUUCGCGGCCUAUCAGCUUGUUGGUGAGGUAAUGGCUCACCAAGGCGACGACGGGUAGCCGGCCUGAGAGGGCGACCGGCCACACUGGGACUGAGACACGGCCCAGACUCCUACGGGAGGCAGCAGUGGGGAAUAUUGGGCAAUGGAGGAAACUCUGACCCAGCGACGCCGCGUGAGGGAUGAAGGCCUUCGGGUUGUAAACCUCUUUCAGUAGGGAAGAAGCGAAAGUGACGGUACCUACAGAAGAAGCACCGGCUAACUAUGUGCCAGCAGCCGCGGUAAUACAUAGGGUGCAAGCGUUGUCCGGAAUUAUUGGGCGUAAAGAGCUCGUAGGUGGUUCGAUACGUCGGAUGUGAAAAUCAGGGGCUCAACCCCUGACCUGCAUCCGAUACGGUCGAGCUAGAGUUUGGUAGGGGAGACUGGAAUUCCUGGUGUAGCGGUGGAAUGCGCAGAUAUCAGGAGGAACACCGAUGGCGAAGGCAGGUCUCUGGGCCAAUACUGACACUGAGGAGCGAAAGCGUGGGGAGCGAACAGGAUUAGAUACCCUGGUAGUCCACGCCGUAAACGGUGGGCGCUAGUUGUGCGAACCUUCCACGGUUUGUGCGACGCAGCUAACGCAUUAAGCGCCCCGCCUGGGGAGUACGACCGCAAGAUUAAAACUCAAAGGAAUUGACGGGGCCCCGCACAAGCAGCGGAGCAUGCGGCUUAAUUCGACGCAACGCGAAAAACCUUACCAAGGCUUGACAUAUACAGGAAUAUGGCA